CACGGGCUGCAGCGCCAACGC
rnacentral:miRNA from 1 species